GCAUGUGGUAGCCGAGUUGGUAAAGCGCUUAUAGCUAUUAACCGAAUAUCGAUGGUUCGAAUCCAUCUCGGAGCA